CCUGCUGGGGGUCAGCGCGGCACCCUCGGCCGGUUCUGAAAUGCCCGCUUUGCGUCUCCCGGCCAAUCCCGAAUCUUCCCUCGGUAGGUCCUUGCUCUCGCCGUAAAAUGCCCCGGCCCGGCGCGCCCCUCUGGGGAGGACCAGCCCCUCGGCGCAGGCUCGUGGCGGUGAUGCCGGACCCGGCUGCCCUCCUCAUCUGGAGCCGCGCUCCCCCUUCCCUUUGCCCGGGAAGAUCCCCGGCUGAAACUAGAAGCGAUUCCCGCUUCGCCACGUGACGGUCCCCGCGUCGGCGACCGGGAAGCAGAAGAUAAAAUUGCAAUUUAGAGAGGUCAUGCUGCCCAAGAUCCUUAACUGGCUGAGGAAGGAUUUGAAUUCACAGAGAUGACUCCAAAGCCUGAACUUUUUUUUACUUUCAGAGCCUGUACUAA